CUACGGGGCAACAGUGAGACCGGAUGGCUUUGCACAUUUAGGGCAGCCAAGUGGGAAUACAAUCGAGGAAUCUUCUCUUUCCAAGAAAUUCACUGGCCAUGAAUCACUCCACGUGUCUUUUAGAUAAGGAGAGUUGAUCUCAGAAAUUCCAGCUCUGGGACAGACUUCUAAACGUCUCUGUAAUUUCAGUUCAUAACAUUGUGGUUUGAGUUUCCAGAAUGCAACUGGAAAAGCUGUUUUUUAAUUCCUAGGGAAUUCUUACUUUUUUUCUUUCCUUCCCUUCUUUCUUUUUUUCCUACUUUUUUCUUCUUUCUUUCCCUUCAUUCCUCCUUCCUUCCUUCCUUCCUUCUUUCUUUUCUUUCCUUUUCUCCCUCUUUCUUUGUUUCCCUUCCUUUCUUCUUUCUUUCUACUUGCUCUUUCUUUCUUUCUUCCCCUUCAUCCCUUUCUUUUCCUUCUUUCUUUUUCUACUUUUUCUUUCCCUCCUUCCUUUCUUUCCUUCUUUCUCUUUUUCUUUCUUUCCCUUCAUUCCUCCUUUCUUUUCCUUCCUUCUGUCUUUCUUUCUUUUUCUACUUUUUCUUUCCUUCUUUCUUUCCUUCUUUUUCUUUCUCUUUCUUGCUUUCCCUUCAUUCCUCCUUUCUUUUCCUUCCUUCUGUCUUUCUUUCUUUUUCUACUUUUUCUUUCUUUCAUUUUCUCCCUCUUUCUUUCUUUGUUUCCCUUCCUUCCUUCUUUCUCUUUCUACUUGCUCUCUCUCUUUCUUUCUUUCCCUUCAUUCCUCCUUUUUUUCCAUCCUUCUUUCUUUCUUUUUCUACUUUUCCCUCUUUCUUUCUUUCCUUCCUUCCUUCUUUUCUUUCCAGCAUUGAUACGGCAGCUACUUCAUUCUCACAACUCUGGCCAACCAACAUUGCAUAUGACCUCUCCUCAGAACAAGUCGCAGACAUUUCCAAAAAAAAAAAUUUUUUAGGUAUGGUUCUUUUGUAGGGAGAACAAUGCAAACUGUUCUUCAUUCCCUCAGUCUUCUGGUUCUUCAGUCUUUGACGAUUGAGAACCUGAUGAU
rnacentral:lncRNA from 1 species